AAGUACCUGGAGGAAGAGAAAGAAAAAUCGAUUUCCUGAGUAGCGGCGAGCGAAACGGAAAGAGCCCAAACCAAGAAGCUUGCUUCUUGGGGUUGUAGGACACUCUAUACGGAGUUACAAAAGAAAGUUAUAAAUGAAGCGGUCUGGAAAGGCCCGCCAAAGACGGUAACAGCCCGGUAGUUGAAAUGGCUUUCCCUCCAGAGUGGAUCCUGAGUACGGCGGAACACGUGAAAUUCCGUCGGAAUCCGGGAGGACCAUCUCCCAAGGCUAAAUACUCCCUAGUGACCGAUAGUGAACCAGUACCGUGAGGGAAAGGUGAAAAGCACCCCGGAAGGGGAGUGAAACAGUUCCUGAAACCGUGUGCCUACAAGUAGUUAGAGCCCGUUAAUGGGUGAUAGCGUGCCUUUUGUAGAAUGAACCGGCGAGUUACGAUUUGUUGCAAGGUUAAGCGGAAAAAGCGGAGCCGUAGCGAAAGCGAGUCUGAAUAGGGCGCAUAAGUAACAGGUCGUAGACCCGAAACCAGGUGAUCUACCCAUGUCCAGGAUGAAGGUAAGGUAAUACUUACUGGAGGUCCGAACCCACGCACGUUGAAAAGUGCGGGGAUGAGGUGUGGGUAGCGGAGAAAUUCCAAUCGAACUUGGAGAUAGCUGGUUCUCUCCGAAAUAGCUUUAGGGCUAGCCUCGAGGUAAAGAGUCAUGGAGGUAGAGCACUGUUUGGACUAGGGGCCCUUCUCGGGUUACCGAAUUCAGAUAAACUCCGAAUGCCAUGUACUUAUACUCGGGAGUCAGACUGCGAGUGAUAAGAUCCGUAGUCGAAAGGGAAACAGCCCAGACCACCAGUUAAGGUCCCCAAAUAUAUGUUAAGUGGAAAAGGAUGUGGGGUUGCUUAGACAACCAGGAUGUUGGCUUAGAAGCAGCCACCAUUGAAAGAGUGCGUAAUAGCUCACUGGUCGAGUGACCCCGCGCCGAAAAUGUACCGGGGCUAAACAUAUUACCGAAACUGUGGAUGAACCUCUUCGGAGGUUCGUGGUAGGAGAGCGUUCUAAGGGCGGUGAAGUCAGACCGGAAGGACUGGUGGAGCGCUUAGAAGUGAGAAUGCCGGUAUGAGUAGCGAAAGAAGGGUGAGAAUCCCUUCCACCGAAUAUCUAAGGUUUCCUGAGGAAGGCUCGUCCGCUCAGGGUUAGUCGGGACCUAAGCCGAGGCCGAUAGGCGUAGGCGAUGGACAACAGGUAGAGAUUCCUGUACCAGUGCUAAUUGUUUAACCGAUGGGGUGACACAGAAGGAUAGGGAAUCGCACGAAUGGAAAUGUGCGUCCAAGCAGUGAGUGUGA
rnacentral:rRNA from 1 species